ACGGGAGGCAGCAGUGGGGAAUAUUGCACAAUGGGGGAAGCCCUGAUGCAGCGACGCCGCGUGAGUGAAGAAGUAUUUCGGUAUGUAAAGCUCUAUCAGCAGGGAAGAAAAUGACGGUACCUGACUAAGAAGCCCCGGCUAACUACGUGCCAGCAGCCGCGGUAAUACGUAGGGGGCAAGCGUUAUCCGGAUUUACUGGGUGUAAAGGGAGCGUAGACGGUAUGGCAAGUCUGAUGUGAAAGGUGGGGGCUCAACCCCCAAACUGCAUUGGAAACUGUCAAACUCGAGUGCCGGAGAGGUAAGCGGAAUUCCUAGUGUAGCGGUGAAAUGCGUAGAUAUUAGGAGGAACACCAGUGGCGAAGGCGGCUUGCUGGACGACAACUGACGCUGAGGCGCGAAAGCGUGGGGAGCAAACAGGAUUAGAUACCCUGGUA
rnacentral:rRNA from 1 species